ensembl:lncRNA
CCAUAAUCCAACGUUUCCUAGACGUCAUAAUGGCAACGUCCACACAACGUCAAAUUAAAACAUCAUUUGAUGUUGAUCUGUAGUUAGUUAUAGGUUGUGGCAUUAACUAACCAAAAUCCAACAUCAAGACAACGUCUCAAGCCAACGUCAGAUUGACAUCAAAUACUGAUGUUUAGUCGUCAGGUAUGGCAACCAUAAUCCAACGUUUUCUAGACAUCAUAAUGGCAACAUCCACACAACGUCAAAUUAAAACAUCAUUUGAUGUUGAUCUGUAGUUAGUUUUAGGUUGUGGCAUUAACUAACCAAAAUCCAACAUCAAGACAACGUCUCAAGCCAAUGUCAGAUUGACAUCAAAAACUGAUACUUAGUCGUCAGGUAUGGCAACCAAAAUCCAAUGUCUUCAAGACGUCAUAAUGGUAACGUCCAAUCAACGUCAAAUUAUAACG